rnacentral:snRNA from 1 species
ACUCAGACCUGGCAGGGGAGAUACCAUUGUUGUAAAAGUGGUUUCUCUAGGGUAAGGCUCAUCUAUUGCACUUCGGAUGAGCUGACCCCUGUGAUUUCCCCAAAUGUGGGAAAAUCAACUGCCUAAGUGGGAGAUUGUGUUUGUAGUUUCCCU